rnacentral:rRNA from 1 species
ACGCGGGCGGCGUGCCUAACACAUGCAAGUCGAGCGAGAAAAGGGGGGCAACUCCCUGAGUACAGCGGCGCACGGGUGAGUAACACGUGGGUAAUCUGCCCUGGAGUGGGGAAUAACACCGGGAAACCGGUGCUAAUACCGCAUACGAUAGCGAGGUCUGCGGACUUUGUUAUGAAAGGAGCAAUUCGCUCUAGGAGGAGCCCGCGGCUGAUUAGCUAGUUGGUGAGGUAAUGGCUCACCAAGGCUACGAUCAGUAUCCGGUCUGAGAGGACGGUCGGACACACUGGAACUGAGACACGGUCCAGACUCCUACGGGAGGCAGCAGUGGGGAAUUUUUGGCAAUGGGGGCAACCCUGACCAAGCAACGCCGCGUGGGUGAUGAAGUCUCUUGGGACGUAAAACCCUUUCGACGGGGAAGAAACCGCAAGGUUGACGGUACCCGUAGAAGAAGCCCCGGCUAACUCCGUGCCAGCAGCCGCGGUAAUACGGGGGGGGCAAGCGUUGUUCGGAAUUACUGGGCGUAAAGGGCGCGUAGGCGGUGCUCUAAGUCGGAUGUGAAAACUCUGGGCUCAACCCAGAGCCUGCAUCCGAAACUGGAGUGCUAGAGUUCUGGAGGGGGUAGCGGAAUUCCUGGUGUAGCGGUGAAAUGCGUAGAUAUCAGGAGGAACACCGGUGGCGAAGGCGGCUACCUGGACAGAAACUGACGCUGAGGCGCGAAAGCUAGGGGAGCAAACAGGAUUAGAUACCCUGGUAGUCCUAGCCCUAAACGAUGGAUACUUGGUGUGACGGGGAUUGAAUCCCGUCGUGCCGAAGCUAACGCAUUAAGUAUCCCGCCUGGGGAGUACGGUUCGCAGGCUGAA